UCGAUCUCAAAUCAGGUAGGAUUACCCGCUGAACUUAAGCAUAUCAAUAAGCGGAGGAAAAGAAACUAACAAGGAUUCCCCUAGUAACUGCGAGUGAAGCGGGAAGAGCUCAAAUUUAAAAUCCGGCGUGCCUUUGGUCGUCCGAGUUGUAGUCUGGAGAAGCGUCUUCCGUGUUGGACCGUGUACAAGUCUCUUGGAACAGGGCGUCAUAGAGGGUGAGAAUCCCGUCUUUGACACGGACUACCAAUGCUUUGUGAUGCGCUCUCAAAGAGUCGAGUUGUUUGGGAAUGCAGCUCAAAAUGGGUGGUAAAUUCCAUCUAAAGCUAAAUACAGGCGAGAGACCGAUAGCGAACAAGUACCGUGAGGGAAAGAUGAAAAGCACUUUGGAAAGAGAGUUAAACAGUACGUGAAAUUGCUGAAAGGGAAACGCUUGAAGUCAGUCAUGUCUGCCGGGACUCA
rnacentral:rRNA from 1 species